rnacentral:sRNA from 1 species
AGCUAGCCCAGAUAGAAGCGGUAUCCUUUGUGUUUUUUCUUUAAAAACAUAAAGAUAUAGCGGAGAGCUGGAAAAAGC